rnacentral:rRNA from 1 species
AUACGAGGGGUGCAAGCGUUAAUCGGAAUUACUGGGCGUAAAGCGUUCGUAGGCGGUUUGUUAAGCAAGAUGUGAAAGCCCUGGGCUCAACCUGGGAACUGCAUUUUGAACUGGCAAACUAGAAUACUGUAGAGGGUGGUGGAAUUUCCAGUGUAGCGGUGAAAUGCGUAGAGAUUGGAAGGAACAUCAGUGGCGAAGGCGGCCACCUGGACAGAUAUUGACGCUGAGGAACGAAAGCGUGGGGAGCGAACAGGAUUAGAUACCCCAGUAGUCC